UACAGAGGUCCCAAGCGUUGUUCGGAUUCACUGGGCGUAAAGGGUGCGCAGGUGGCGGGGUAAGUUUGAUGUGAAAUCUCCGGGCUCAACCCGGAAAAUGCAUUGAAUACUAUCCUGCUAGAGGGUUGGAGGGGAGACUGGAAUUCUCGGUGUAGCAGUGAAAUGCGUAGAUAUCGAGAGGAACACCAGUGGCGAAGGCGAGUCUCUGGACAACUCCUGACACUGAGGCACGAAAGCUAGGGGAG
rnacentral:rRNA from 1 species